rnacentral:rRNA from 1 species
AGAGUUUGAUCCUGGCUCAGGACGAACGCUGGCGGCGUGCUUAACACAUGCAAGUCGAACGAGAAUCUACUGAAAGAGUUUUCGGACAAUGGAUGUAGAGGAAAGUGGCGGACGGGUGAGUAACGCGUGAGGAACCUGCCUUGAAGAGGGGGACAACAGUUGGAAACGACUGCUAAUACCGCAUGAUGCAUAGGGGUCGCAUGAUCUUUAUGCCAAAGAUUUAUCGCUUCAAGAUGGCCUCGCGUCUGAUUAGCUGGUUGGCGGGGUAACGGCCCACCAAGGCGACGAUCAGUAGCCGGACUGAGAGGUUGAACGGCCACAUUGGGACUGAGAUACGGCCCAGACUCCUACGGGAGGCAGCAGUGGGGAAUAUUGGGCAAUGGGCGCAAGCCUGACCCAGCAACGCCGCGUGAAGGAAGAAGGCUUUCGGGUUGUAAACUUCUUUUAAGAGGGAAGAGCAGAAGACGGUACCUCUAGAAUAAGCCACGGCUAACUACGUGCCAGCAGCCGCGGUAAUACGUAGGUGGCAAGCGUUGUCCGGAUUUACUGGGUGUAAAGGGCGUGCAGCCGGGUCUGCAAGUCAGAUGUGAAAUCCAUGGGCUCAACCCAUGAACUGCAUUUGAAACUGUAGAUCUUGAGUGUCGGAGGGGCAAUCGGAAUUCCUAGUGUAGCGGUGAAAUGCGUAGAUAUUAGGAGGAACACCAGUGGCGAAGGCGGAUUGCUGGACGAUAACUGACGGUGAGGCGCGAAAGUGUGGGGAGCAAACAGGAUUAGAUACCCUGGUAGUCCACACUGUAAACGAUGAAUACUAGGUGUGCGGGGACUGACCCCCUGCGUGCCGCAGUAAACACAAUAAGUAUUCCACCUGGGGAGUACGAUCGCAAGGUUGAAACUCAAAGGAAUUGACGGGGGCCCGCACAAGCGGUGGAUUAUGUGGUUUAAUUCGAAGCAACGCGAAGAACCUUACCAGGGUUUGACAUCCUGCUAACGAAGUAGAGAUACAUUAGGUGCCCUUCGGGGAAAGCAGAGACAGGUGGUGCAUGGUUGUCGUCAGCUCGUGUCGUGAGAUGUUGGGUUAAG